AAUAGAUACCUGGGUAGUCCACGCCGUAAACGAUGAGUGCUAAGUGUUAGGGGGGUUUCCGCCCCUUAGUGCUGCAGCUAACGCAUUAAGCACUCCGCCUGGGGAGUACGGUCGCAAGACUGAAACUCAAAGGAAUUGACGGGGGCCCGCACAAGCGGUGGAGCAUGUGGUUUAAUUCGAAGCAACGCGAAGAACCUUACCAGGUCUUGACAUCCCGUUGACCACUGUAGAGAUAUAGUUUCCCCUUCGGGGGCAACGGUGACAGGUGGUGCAUGGUUGUCGUCAGCUCGUGUCGUGAGAUGUUGGGUUAAGUCCCGCAACGAGCGCAACCCUUGAUCUUAGUUGCCAUCAUUUAGUUGGGCACUCUAAGGUGACUGCCGGUGACAAACCGGAGGAAGGUGGGGAUGACGUCAAAUCAUCGUGCCCCUUAUGACCUGGGCUACACACGUGCUACAAUGGACGAUACAAAACGAUUGCCAAACUCGCGAGAGGGAGCUAAUCCGAUAAAAGUCGUUCUCAGUUCGGAUUGUAGG
rnacentral:rRNA from 1 species